rnacentral:rRNA from 1 species
GACGAACGCUGGCGGCGUGCUUAACACAUGCAAGUCGAACGGAAAGGCCCUGCUUUUGUGGGGUGCUCGAGUGGCGAACGGGUGAGUAACGCGUGAGUAACCUGCCCUUGACUUUGGGAUAACUUCAGGUAACUGGGGCUAAUACCGUAUCGGAGCUCCUGCUGCAUUGUGGGGGUUGGAAAGUUUCGGCGGUUGGGGAUGGACUCGCGGCUUAUCAGCUUGUUGGUGGGGUAGUGGCUUACCAAGGCUUUGACGGGUAGCCGGCCUGAGAGGGUGACCGGCCACAUGGGGACUGAGAUACGGCCCAGACUCCUACGGGAGGCAGCAGUGGGGAAUAUUGCACAAUGGGCGGAAGCCUGAUGCAGCAACGCCGCGUGCGGGAUGACGGCCUUCGGGUUGUAAACCGCUUUCGCCUGUGACGAAGCGUGAGUGACGGUAAUGGGUAAAGAAGCACCGGCUAACUACGUG